GGUUCAUUCAAAUUUCUUCCCUAUCAACUUUGGAUGUUUGGGUAUUGGCCAAGCGUGGUCGCAACGGGUAACGGAGGGUUAGGGCUCGACCCCGGAGAAGGAGCCUGAGAAACGGCUACUACAUCCAAGGAAGGCAGCAGGCGCGCAAAUUACCCAAUCCCGACCGGGGAGGUAGUGACAAUAAAUACUGAUACGAGGCUCUUUUGGGCCUUGUAAUUGGAAUGAGUACAAUUUAAAUCUCUUAACGAGGAACAAUUGGAGGGCAAGUCUGGUGCCAGCAGCCGGGUAAUUCCAGCUCCAAUAGCGUAUAUUAAAGUUGUGGUGGUUAAAAAGCUCGUAGUUG
rnacentral:rRNA from 1 species